rnacentral:rRNA from 1 species
AGAGUUUGAUCCUGGCUCAGGACGAACGCUGGCGGCGUGCUUAACACAUGCAAGUCAACGGGAUUCAAUCAUUCGCAAGAAUGAGGAAGAUCUAGUGGCGAACGGGUGCGUAACACGUGAGGAACCUAUCCCAGUCUCUGGAAUAACAGGUGGAAACACCUGCUAAUACCGGAUGUCGUUGGACCACCGCAUGGCGGACCAACGAAAGAUUUAUCGGAGUGGGAGGGCCUCGCGGCCUAUCAGCUUGUUGGCGGGGUAACGGCCCACCAAGGCGUCGACGGGUAGCUGGUCUGAGAGGAUGAUCAGCCACACUGGGACUGAGACACGGCCCAGACUCCUACGGGAGGCAGCAGUGGGGAAUCUUGCACAAUGGGCGCAAGCCUGAUGCAGCAACGCCGCGUGCGGGAAGAAGGCCCUAGGGUUGUAAACCGCUUUCAGCAGGGAAGAAAAUGACGGUACCUGUAGAAGAAGGUGCGGCCAACUACGUG